rnacentral:rRNA from 1 species
AACUUUUAACAACGGAUCUCUUGGCUCUCGCAUCGAUGAAGAACGCAGAGAAUUGCGAUAAGUAAUGUGAAUUUCAGAACCGUGAAUCAUCGAAUCUUUGAACGCACCUUGCGCCGUCUGGUAUUCCGGACGGCAUGCCUGUUUGAGUGUCAUGA